GAAAAAGCACAUAACAAUGCUAUUAGUGAAUUGACAAGCCCUCUAGAUCAACAAAUAUCACCAAUUUCAAAUUUAAAAAAGUCGUUUGAGCAUUCAAAAGGAGUCUGGGUUAAAUCAAAGAUCACACUCAUAGACAACGAAAAUCCUACCUACUGCAUUGGUUGCAACUAUUAUGAUAAGAAAAUUAAUUGUAAUGAGGGUAUUAAAUUUCGAUGCAUGUUUUGUGGUCAUGCAAAUGCAAUUUCUAUCAAGAGAUAUAGAUUAAUUGUUAAGCUAUUUGAUGUGA